AGAGUUUGAUCAUGGCUCAGAUUGAACGCUGGCGGCAUGCUUUACACAUGCAAGUCGAACGGGUGUUGGGGGCAACCCUGGCAUCAGUGGCGAACGGGUGAGUAAUGCAUCGGAACGUGCCCGGUAGUGGGGGAUAACGUAGCGAAAGUUACGCUAAUACCGCAUACGCUGGAGACAGGAAAGCGGGGGACCUGCGAGGGCCUCGUGCUACCGGAGCGGCCGAUGUCCGAUUAGCUAGUUGGUGGGGUAAAGGCCCACCAAGGCGACGAUCGGUAGCUGGUCUGAGAGGAUGAUCAGCCACACUGGGACUGAGACACGGCCCAGACUCCUACGGGAGGCAGCAGUGGGGAAUUUUGGACAAUGGGGGCAACCCUGAUCCAGCCAUGCCGCGUGAGUGAAGAAGGCCUUCGGGUUGUAAAGCUCUUUUGUCCGGGAAGAAAGGGCACGGGCCAAUACCCCGUGUUGUUGACGGUACCGGAAGAAUAAGCACCGGCUAACUACGUGCCAGCAGCCGCGGUAAUACGUAGGGUGCGAGCGUUAAUCGGAAUUACUGGGCGUAAAGCGUGCGCAGGCGGUUCGUGAAGUCCGAUGUGAAAGCCCUGGGCUCAACCCGGGAAUGGCAUUGGAAACUGGCGGGCUAGAGUUUGGCAGAGGGGGGUGGAAUUCCUGGUGUAGCAGUGAAAUGCGUAGAGAUCAGGAGGAACACCGAUGGCGAAGGCAGCCCCCUGGGCUAAGACUGACGCUCAGGCACGAAAGCGUGGGGAGCAAACAGGAUUAGAUACCCUGGUAGUCCACGCCCUAAACGAUGACGACUGGUUGUUGGGAGGAGUUGUCCUUCAGUAACGAAGCUAACGCGUGAAGUCGUCCGCCUGGGGAGUACGGUCGCAAGAUUAAAACUCAAAGGAAUUGACGG
rnacentral:rRNA from 1 species